rnacentral:rRNA from 1 species
UACGUAGGUGGCAAGCGUUGUUCGGAAUUACUGGGCGUAAAGCGCGCGUAGGCGGCUCUUCAAGUCAGGCGUGAAAGCCCCGAGCUUAACUCGGGAACUGCGCUUGAUACUGUCGAGCUAGAGUGUGGAAGGGGCGAUUGGAAUUCCGCGUGUAGCGGUGAAAUGCGUAGAUAUACGGAGGAACACCAGGGGCGAAGGCGGAUCGCUGGGCCAACACUGACGCUGAUGUGCGAAAGCUAGGGGAGCAAACAGG